rfam:Rheinheimera sp. F8 genome.
ACUGAGCGCGCAUUUUCAGGUGCUGCGUUAGUUCGCAGUGAAACGGGAAGCUGGUGUCCGUCAUUCUGACCCAAUCCAGCGCUGCCCCCGCAACGGUAAAUUUUGUGGUAACGCCUUCGUGCAUACGCGAAUGGCAAAGCCGCUUCACGCCACCACUGUCUUCGGAUGGGAAGGGACGUGUCGCUGUCGGCCCCGACAACAGGAUCAGCCCGGAGACCGGCCUGAAAAUUUCAUCAACC